UACGUAGGGCGCAAGCGUUGUCCGGAAUUAUUGGGCGUAAAGAGCUCGUAGGCGGCUUGUCACGUCGGGUGUGAAAGCCCGGGGCUUAACCCCGGGUCUGCAUUCGAUACGGGCAGGCUAGAGUGUGGUAGGGGAGAUCGGAAUUCCUGGUGUAGCGGUGAAAUGCGCAGAUAUCAGGAGGAGGACCAGUGGCGAAGGCGGAUCUCUGGGCCAUUACUGACGCUGAGGAGCGAAAGCGUGGGGAGCGAACAGG
rnacentral:rRNA from 1 species